rnacentral:tRNA from 1 species
GCCUGGGUGGCUCAGUUGGUUGAGCAUCCGACUUCAGCUCAGGUCAUGAUCUCGCGGUCUGUGAGUUCGAGCCCUGCUUCGGGCU